ACAAAUUGAACCUCGAAAGGCGUUCGGGAAGUCCGGUGAGAGACCGGCGCGGACCCGCCACUGUAAGCUCGGCAAUGCCGACCAUGCCCACUGGGACGUUUUUCAUCCUGGGAAGGGGGUCGGAGUAAGGAGAGCGAGCCAGGAGACCGGCCUUUCGCAGGGAGCGCAC
rnacentral:ncRNA from 2 species